AUUAUUCCACCAAUCCGCCGGGAGGAGGUAGCAACAAAUAACAACAAGGGGGGUAAUGUCGUGUAGUAGGAAUGAUGAUGGGAAUAUCCUCUUCCAGCAGAUCAUCAGGAGGAGGGCAAGUGUGGCAGCAGCCGCGGUAGUUAUUCCAGCAAUAAUAGCGUAUAUUAAAAUUGCACAGUUAAAAAGCUCGUAGAAUUUUUGUUGCAUUGCUUUUUCUCCUUUUCGACUGGCGGCAUCGUGGCGUAUUUCGGGGAUUAUGCUUGCAUGUUCGGAGGGUUACUUUGAGAAAAUUAGAGUGCUCAAAGCAGGCUUUUGCCUUGAAUAGUUUAGCAUGGAAUAAUAAAGUAGGACUUUGGUUCUAUUUUGUUGGUUUUAGGUACCAAAGUAAUGGUUAAUAGGAACAGUUGGGGGCAUUCGUAUUUAA
rnacentral:rRNA from 1 species